AGGGUUGUGUGGAUUUCCAUUGUCAAAGAAAUGCAUAACUGAUGAAGCAUCGGAAUCUUCAAAGGAAGCGGAUGAAGAGUUUGAUGGUGGAUUUGAUUGGAAAAUCACAUUGAUGGGAUAUGGAUGUGGAUUGGUUAUUGGGUUGUCUCUUGGGUGUCUCAUUUUCUUAACUGGGAAACCUAAACGGUUUGUCUGGUUUAUUGAAGAGAACAUUCACAAAAAGAUCAGAAGAUCUACAAGGAGCACUUGUAGGCAAGGAGCAAGAAGAAAUUAAUUCGUUCCACUCCCAUUUUAUUAUGUGUUGCAUAUAACAAAUGGCUUUUACAUUCUUAUGUUAGCAAAUAAUUUAUAUUGUCAUUAUACAAGUGCAAUCUUGUUUAUAAAGUUAAAAUAAUGUCUUUUUCCUUAUUAUUAUUAUUAUUAUUGUUUUGUGAUAAUGCAAUAGUCAUUCGUAUAGUAUUUUUCCAAUCAAUAUGGUAACUUAAAACUCAAAAAGCAAUUGUCAUAUCUUGGAAACCAUACACUAACAAAUAAGUAUUAAAGAGUUAGGAGACAUUUGGAUACAUUUCCAUUUUUUAUCAAAUAGGCGGUAACAUCAUAUGUUCUACUUUAGUUGCCCUUGAUCACUUUUUGGGAUGACAGUCAGUCUUCUCACCAUGGGUCUUCUCACCAAUAGGGAUCUAGAUGAGUGAGACCUCAAGUUCAAACCAAUAAAUGAUUCAAUUCCUCCAAUUGACAUGGUUCCAACUGAUCGAUUUGUUGUUCCUACCUUCCAAUCCCCAAUCAAUGUAAGGCAAAGUUAAGGAGUGCCUUUUUUCUCAAGCCAACACUCAAAUGUGAUAAUCCAUAGGAAAGAAAGGCUGAUUUUUCUAGUAUGCCUAAUCGUUAACCCUUCUCUCUCUUUCUUUAAUUAAAUCCUUUGGUUCCUUCUUUUAAAAAGAGUUGUCCUCCAUCCUCUUGUAAACAACCAUUUAGUCUUUUCAUUACAUCCCAAUUUAUUUAAAAACCUUAAUUAGGAAAAGAACAAGAAUCUUGUUUAUAUUUCAAUAUGUAUAGAAGAGAUUAUUUUCAACUAGUAUUUGUUUUUAUUAAAAACAUGCAUGGGAGCCAAUUUGUUCAUGGCCCAAGUUUAGGCCACAACAAGAUAGAAUCAGUGCUGCAACCUAAGGGCCGAAGCUAGCUUUAACUUAAGAUCCAUGAGUCAGAGCCCAAGCCCAAUUGGCAUUUUCUUUGGAAAUGUACAACAUUAGCCCCAUUAUUAUUAGUGAUGUAUGCCAAAUAUUUAAAUAAAUUUAAUACUUGUUAUAGAUAUUUAGGGAAAGAAACGUAACUAAAUUAUAUGAUUUAACAUUUUUCAAUCAAGUUGAUUUUAAUAAAUAAGGAUGUACAUCCACUCCAUGCACAAAAUCAAUAAAUAAAAAGGAGAAGAGGUCAACUAUAAAAGGUAAUAAUAAUAAUAAUAAUAAAUUGGUGCAUGAUAUUUGAAAAACCAGUUAAUGAAAAUGUUUAUCAUUAUAUUAUGCAAAGAAAAUUGCACCCAUUUUAAUUGGUAAAUAACUCUAUUUUUCUAAGCUAGCAAAAUUUUCUAUGGUAUAGUGGUGAAAUAAAAAAUGUUAAAAUGCUUAUUAUUCUCCUUAGAAGGUGUAGCAUAGGAUGGCAAUUUCAACCAAUAACUUUCUUGAAUUUUUUUUUUAAAUAUUAUUUUUUAUAUAACAUUACAAAGUAAUAUUAGUAUUUCUUGAAAAGGAAAAUUAAUAAUUAAAAAAAUUAAAAUUAAAUAUCAAAACUUAUAACCAUUUUGUUUUAUCAUGAAGUCUCAUUCUUCUUUUAAUAUAUAUGUAAAUAUUUAAAAUAUUUGUGAAUUACUAUAAUUGAAAAAUUAUUGUAUCUUAUAUUUCUUAUAUGAACAUCAUAGAAAAUUGUCCUUCUAAUCAAUUAGAUAAUCAAGUUAAUAUAAUUAUAGUAUUUUUAUCCUUGACUCAAUAGACAUCUCAACCAACGUCUCCAAUCUUAAAAACUUUUAAAUUGUGUUAGAAGAUAGGUUAUUAAGCUUUUUUCUUCUAAAAUAUAUUUUUUCUUCUAAAAAUAAAAUAAAAUUGUAUAUCAUUAUAUAGAAAUAUUUAUAUUUAACAAUUUAAAAUUUGAAAUUGAGUAGUCAAAACUCAUAAUUAUAAUAUUAGCAUUUUUUUUUCUAUAUUGAAGUUUGAUCCUUUUUCAAAAAAAAAAAUCUAUUUUUUUGAGUCAAUUAGUCAAUCAAAUUAAUAUAAUUAUUGUAUUUUUAUGGUGAGUCAAAGACAUCUCAAUCAAUAUUAAAAUCUUAAAGGAAAUGCUAUAAACCAUAUUAAUUAACAUCUAUAUUUUCUAAAAAAAAUUAUUAAUAAACAAUGAUAUUCUCAAUUUUUAAAUUUUAAACUAAGCUUAGAAAUUCAAGCACUCUUGGAUGGUAUAAAAUGAAUAUAAUAGGAACUUCAAAAUUAAAAAGCAUAUAUUAGUGUAGACACCCAUUUAGGAGGGUUCUCAAGGAGCCACGUGUCAAUCCAUGGUUGGCUGGUGGAGAAUCAGAUGAUGCUUUUUGAGGAGCUAAUAGAAGGUUGACACUUGUAAAGGGAGAUUCUAGAGGAGGUUUUGCCGUUAGGAGGAGCGUAUUCUAGCCAGCGGGGUAGUGGUGCUUUCAGGGGGUUUUGGAGAGAUAUUUUGAAAAAAAUAAAAGAGUUAGAGCUUGAGGAGCAAGCAAGCUGAGGGGUAGAGGACGGUUUUUCUCUGAGGUUGAGAGAGAGAGAGAUGGAUUUUUAUUUUUAUUUUUGGGAGGAGAUUCAUCUUUCUGGGGGGAGCAUUUUGCAGGUAAAGGUGAGGGACUACAGGAGAUAUUUUGAGAGAGAUUGUUUUUUUAGCUUGAGGGAGAAACUACAGAGGGGAGGUCUUCAAGCUGAGAGUGAGCGAGAGAGAGAGAGUUGUGUGUUUGGAGAGUAGAGGAUGAUAUGCUAUUUCAUUAGUUUCCUUGGUUUUGGAGGAGGAUUUGGGGCGUUUGAAGCUGAUCAGAACCUUACCGAAGAAGGGCACUCUUAGGUAUGAAUGCUACAAGCUUAUUGUUUGAUUUGGCAACUUAUCAUUCCUCUAUAUAUUCUGUCGGUUUUUGAAUGUUUAUUGAUUUGUUUGGGGUGGAUAAUGAAGUGGGCUUUGGUGGGGGGCCACAUAAGAGAAGUUUUAAAACAAAAAUAAGUUUGAGUGAAGUGCAGUGUGAUAUCUAAUGACUUCUUACUCUGUUUAGUGGCAUGUGUGAUAUACAUUGUGUUCAUUAUUGUGCACUAACCCCAUUUUUUGACAGCGUGUUAGUGCUUGCUGCUAAGGUACGCAUACACACUCACUUCGAUCAUUCUCUUUGUAUUGUUAUGAAUCUCGUGCGUGUAACACCAUUUUUGUAUCUCUUGAUCUAUUGGUUAAUUCUCAUACCUGCUUCAUUUUAUUAGUAAAGACCCGUUUUUAGGAACUUAGAGGGAUAUUAUGGUAUUUACCGUACCUUCCCAAUAAGUAACUUGAUUCUCGAGUCCAUAUUUGGUUUUUUUUUAUAGACUACCUUUUCCAAAUAAGGAGUCACACUUAGAGUUUUCUUUCUUAUUUUGUUUACCCUUUAAAAAUAAAACAAAAAUAAGCGGUGAGUCCAAGUUUUUUCUAAAAAUCAUUUUUUUACAAAUAAAUAAAAAAAACGAGUUUCGCUAUUGAGUGUGAAUACAUCGAGCUGAAAUGCAGGGUCCACAAUUACAUACCUACUAUGUUUCAUACAUGAUCUAAAAAAAUAUGAUAUGAUUAUAAUUAUUUGACUUUUGAUACAGAAAAAUUCAAAGUAUAUAUAUAUAUAUUUAGUUUUUUAUAUUAAAAUUAAAUAAAUAAUUGAAAAAAUAAAUGAAAAAUGUGGUUCUAUAAAUGAGCUUUCCUCUCUAAAUUUAAAUAUUUAAGAACGGACUAAAUAAUAAUUUGAUAAAUAGUUGUCUUCCUUCCAAAAUUAGAUUUUGCUUUCACUUUGUAGUGUUUCUAAAAUUGAAUUCUCAAGUGCUCAAUAAUUCUUCCCAUAACUUGUUGAAAAAUAUGUUGGAAGUGCAUCAUGAGCUAAUAAUGACUUUUUUUUUAAUUAUUUUUUUUUAAAAGAAACCAUUAUACACUAGUAUAUACAAAAACCAUGACUGAAAAAUGGAUAAGGUAUAGAAUUUAGUAGAUGAAAGGAAAAAUGAAUGAGAUAAUAAUGAUAAAUCAAAACAUAUAGGUUAUGUUUAGUUCCGAGAAAUUUAAGGAAAAACAUGAGAAAAAUAAAAUAAAAAGAAAAUGUGGAAGGAAAGAAAAAGUUACAACACUUACACAUGUAAAAUACAAGCAAAUCAUACUGGAAAUAAUAAUAAUAAUAAUAAUAAUAAUAAUAAAGUCUAAAAAGAAUAAGGUAGGAUACAAGAUAAUAACUUUCAAAUUUACAUAUAUAUAUAUAUAUAUAUAUAUAUAUAUAUUUAGUUUUAAGAAAACAAAAUCUUUUAGCUUUUCAUUCUACUUGUAUCAUCACUUUUUGUUUUUGUUAGUAAAGAAUCCAGUGAAUUUUUUUUGUCAUAGGGGACGGACCAUCAAAAUUGCUUUAAUGUAGAAAAAAAAAAUUAGAAAUAUUGUUUUCUAACAAAUGAUGCCGAUGGUUGACAUCUUACAUAUUCAAUUCUUAGAGAAGAUGUAUAUAGUAAAUACUUUCUCCUCGUUGCUAUUGGUUGACACUUUCUCAUAGUCCUUUUAGUUGUAUAAUUCAUAAAAACAUUAUUAUUCUUCUUUAACCUUAAAUAAUAUGUUACCUUUUGAAUUUUCAAUAUCCUACCUAGUCUUGCCCAUUGGAAACUCUUAACUUGCAAAUUUAGCUAUGGUUCAAGUCAUAGAAGCCUAGCUUUGUAUCAUUUUCUUUCUCAUCUGUUUUUUUUUCAUAAAAAUGUGCUCUUAGUAUUAGAGACUCUAAAUUUAAAUCGUCAAUGAUUAUUUAAAUAACAAUUUGAUAAAUAGUUGUCGUCCUUCUAAAUUUAUAUUUUUUUAAAAAUUGAAUUCUUGAGUAGUUGAUAUAUGAAAUCAAAUCAAUGGACAUUAAUUAUAUUUAGCCAAGACAUCACAGAAAGGUAAAUGAAAUUAACCCCCGUAUAAUUAGGUUAAAAUAAUAAUAAUUUCAUUGAAAAAAAAAAAGGACAAUACAUACCAAUACAUGGAAAAAAAACUUGUAAAAUCAAUAAGAUAUAGAAUUUGGUGGAUGAAAAGCAAAGUGCAUAAGAUAAAAAUGAUAAAUCAACAUAUAUGAAUUAGUUAGAGGAGAUGACUUCUAUGACUCAAGAGAGUCAUGCCUGAAUUUGCAAGUUAGGAGUUUCCAAUACGGCAGGAUCAUUUUCUUGUCUUCUCUAAUUCCACAAAACUAUGCCCUCAUGACUGGAGCCUUGUUGUGCUCCACCUUAAGAAGUCAUUAUCUAAUAUUGACAGGCUUUUGGAUCUCAUUAUUUCACCAAGUGUUGAUCACUACUUUUCUGGUCUGGGACCAUUUCUUCCUUACAUUCAAAGAUGCUUUUCCAAUAAGAAAGAAAAGAAAAUGAAGAACUCGAAGUUUUUGAAAAAAUUUAAAGAAAAAUAGAAAGAAAAGAAAAAAUAAAUAUAAAGUUAAUAAGUUAUUUUUUAUUUGGGUUUUUAAACUCAUUCUACUUAUUUUUUAUUUUCUAUAUAAAGAUAAAAUAAAAUAAAAUAUUUAAAUUUUAAUUAAUUAUAAUUAUAUAUGAUUUUUUUUUCAAAGUGAAAUCAAACAAUAAAAAAUCAUUUUCUUCACAAUUUUUUUCCUUCUUUAGUACUUUCUUGAUAAGAUUUGUAUCCAUAAAUGCUAAUUAAGAAAACAUAAAAAUUGUAAUGUAUAUAUCUUUCUUUUAUGUUGGUACAAACACAUUGAUGAAUAUGUUUUAGAGUGAUUCAAAUUAUGAUGCACCGUUUUUAUACAAGUUUUAGAUGAAAAUCCAAUAUGAUUAGUAUCAUUUAGUGUUUGAUAUGAUAGAAAAAAAAAUAUUUAUUUGAUAUUAAAAUUAAAUAAUUAAUUGAAAAAUUAAGUGCUAAUCGACAACACUAUCUAUAUAGUUUUCCCCUCCCAAUUUAAAUCUUCAAUAAUUAUUUAAAUAACAAUUUGAUAAAUAGUUGUCUUCCUUUUAGAGUUAUAUUUCACUUUCAAUUCUAGUAUUAUUAAAAUUGAAUUCUUCAAUAGUUAAUGUAUAAAAUCUUUCUUCUCAUAAUUUUUUUUGACAAUUUAUUGCAAGUUAGAAGAUAAAAUGAAGGUAGUUCUGGAGUUUAAUUUAUAACAAAAGGGGUUAAAUGCCUCUUGAGAAUUGAAUAAAAUUAGACUAUUAGGUUCUAUUAAGUCAACUAUUACAUAUUAAAAAAACUAAAUCAUUACUAUUAUAAUUUAGGCUUUUUCUCACUUUCAAUGGUGAAUUAAAAUAUUAUGCAUUGAGAUUCAAAUACAUCACCUCUCACCAAACGGGGUUUAAUACCAUAUUUAAUUACCAAAAUUCUUAAAAUCUUAAGCUUGUAAAUUAACAAAAUACAUUAAUUAGGGUACUCAGGAAUAAUUAAAAUAUUUAAUCUAAUUUUUCAUGGACUUUUAUGGUCUUAAGAGAAGGUUCUAGUAGGUUUACUCUUAAUGUAAUUGAUAGUGAAUCGUUAUCUUUACCGUAUAAAUAUAAUUUUUUUAUUUAAUUAAUUAUUUAGAAGACUUAAAAGAUAGUUUUGGAGGAUGAUUUAUGAUGUUUAUUAUUAUAAUAUAUAUUUUAGGAAGAAAAUAUUUUUGGCGUGUUGUAAACUCUUUGAUUAGUCAUAUAUAUUCUUUUCAUAGUGUUGUCACUUUCUUGACUCAUAGAAGUCAAAGUCAAGUGACAUGUCUCAUCGAAUCAUUUAUUUUGAACUACACUUCAUCUAAUCAAUUUGAAAAAUUAGCACCUCCUUAAUAUAUUUAUUAUAUAAUUGGGGGAGUUUGAGAAGUAGGUUAUGAUGGUCAUAAAGACUAUAACAUAAAUUAAGAUUAUGUUUAUUUAUAGGAUUAAAAAGUGAGAUAUAAUUUUAAAAUUAUAUAUUUGCAUAUUUGGAUAUAAAAAGGACAAGAUAAUGAUCUAAAUAAGUUACUGAUCUAACAUUUUUUAUUUUUAAUCUUUUAUGGAUGAGAUUUAAAAAUUGUCUUCCUUAAUAGACAUCAAUGAAUUUUUCAUAAAAAGAAAAGGUACUUGAACUAAGAUUUUUUUCCUUGAAUAAAGGAAUAAAGGAAAAACGUACAUACUAUUUUUUUUUUUUAAAAUUAAUACUUAAGGAAGAAUGCUUUUCAAUGAAACUUAAAAGUUUUUUAUUAAAGAAAAAAUUGCUUUUUUUUAAACCAAAAGGAAACAUAUCUUUUUGGUUACUCGGAUAAAUAUAGUGGUUAAAAAACCAAAUGUUUCAGUCUAGGUUUUUAUUCUACAAUGGAGUACUUCACUACAAUGAACUUCCCCUUUCAAUUUAAAGAUUUUUUUUGUUUAGAAAAAAAAAAAUUGCUUUUAUCUAAACCAAAAGGCAAACGUUUAAUGUGCUGGAAAUUGUUACAAGAAAAGUCUUCUUUGGGUUUCUCUAAGUUGGAAAUUUCCAAGAAGUUUUCAGGGUGAAUCAUUUGCAUAUAAAUUGGAGUGUACCCAUCUCCAUUUCUCUCAUCUCACCACUCUAUCUCAAUUGCUUUGGGAAGAAUGAUGUCUAAACUCCUCCUCUAUUUUCUUUUCUUCCUCUCGUCCUCUCAACUUCUUUCCACCUCUUUCUCUUUCUCUAAUUCCACCAAACUCUGCCCUGGUCACCAAUCUCGUGCUCUGCUCCACCUUAGGAAAUCGUUUUCCGUUAUUGAUAAUUCCAGUUUUUGGGGAUGCGAUUACUAUGGUGUCACUUCUUAUCCGAAAACAGAGUCUUGGAAGAAGGGUAGUGAUUGUUGCUCAUGGGAUGGGGUCACAUGUGAUAGGGUGACAGGCCAUGUAAUUGGGCUAGACCUCAGUUGCAGUUGGCUCUAUGGCACCAUCCAUUCCAAUAGUACCCUCUUUCUUUUUCCCCACCUGCGAAGGCUUAACCUUGCUUUCAAUGACUUUAAUGGGUCUUCUGUUUCCACUAGGUUUGGCCGCUUCUCAAGCUUGACCCAUCUCAACCUCUCUGAAUCUCUAUUUUCAGGCCUAAUUUCACCAGAAAUUUCUCACCUCGCCAACUUGGUUUCACUCGAUCUGUCUGGGAAUGGAGCAGAAUUUGCCCCGCAUGGCUUCAAUUCUCUACUUCUAAAUUUAACCAAGUUGCAGAAGCUUCACCUUGGAGGUAUAUCCAUCUCUUCAGUUUUUCCUAAUUCCUUGCUAAAUCAGUCUUCUUUGAUAUCAUUAGAUCUCUCUGACUGUGGAUUGCAUGGGAGUUUCCAUGAUCAUGACAUUCAUCUUCCAAAACUUGAGGUUCUCAACUUAUGGGGAAAUAAUGCUCUCAAUGGAAAUUUCCCACGAUUCAGUGAGAACAAUUCCCUUUUAGAGUUGGUUCUAGCUUCCACAAAUUUCAGUGGAGAGCUUCCUGCUUCAAUUGGGAAUUUAAAGUCUUUAAAGACUUUGGAUCUCUCUAUUUGCCAAUUCUUAGGGUCCAUCCCCACUUCCCUAGAGAACCUUAAACAAAUCACAUCCUUGAACCUUAUUGGGAAUCAUUUUAGUGGUAAAAUUCCAAAUAUUUUUAAUAACCUUAGAAAUUUAAUUUCACUAGGACUUUCUAACAACAAUUUUAGUGGUCAUUUUCCACCAUCUAUUGGAAAUCUAACAAACCUUUAUGAGUUAGACUUCUCCAAUAAUCAGCUAGAAGGAGUCAUUCAUUCUCAUGUGAAUGAGUUUUCAUUUUCAAGUCUAUCCUAUGUCAACUUAGGAUAUAACUUGUUCAACGGGACAAUACCAUCUUGGUUGUAUACUCUGUCAUCGUUGGUGGUGUUAGAUCUUAGUCAUAACAAACUCACUGGUCAUAUUGAUGAAUUCCAAUUUGAUUCAUUGGAGAAUAUUUAUUUGAAUAUGAAUGAGUUACAUGGGCCAAUUCCAAGUUCAAUAUUUAAGCUUGUAAACCUUAGAUAUCUUUAUCUUUCUUCAAAUAACUUGAGUGAGGUUUUGGAGACAAACAAGUUUGGAAACCUUAGAAAUCUUAUUGAGCUUGAUCUCUCAAACAACAUGCUUUUAUUGACAACCUCUGGCAAUUCCAACUCCAUUUUACCUAACAUUGAGUCGCUAGACCUUUCAAACAAUAAGAUUAGUGGAGUAUGGUCAUGGAACAUGGGAAAUGAUACACUAUGGUACUUGAAUCUCUCUUAUAACUCAAUAAGUGGGUUUAAGAUGCUUCCAUGGAAAAAUAUAGGUAUUCUAGAUCUUCAUUCCAACUUGCUGCAAGGACCACUUCCAACUCCUCCAAAUUCUACAUUUUUCUUUUCAGUCUCCCAUAACAAAUUGAGUGGAGAAAUCUCAUCGUUGAUUUGCAGAGCGAGUUCCAUGGAAAUUCUUGAUUUGUCUGACAACAAUUUGAGUGGCAGGCUUCCUCAUUGUUUGGGAAAUUUUAGUAAAUAUCUCUCAGUUUUGAAUUUACGAAGGAAUCGAUUUCAUGGCAACAUUCCUCAAACAUUUUUAAAGGGCAAUGCUAUCAGGGAUCUUGAUUUCAACGAUAAUCAAUUGGAUGGCCUAGUACCUCGAUCUUUGAUCAUUUGUAGAAAACUUGAAGUUCUAGACCUUGGGAAUAAUAAGAUAAAUGAUACAUUUCCCCAUUGGUUGGGAACUCUUUCAAAGUUGCAAGUUCUUGUUUUGCGCUCUAAUAGUUUCCAUGGUCAUAUAAGGCAUUCCAAGAUCAAAUCCCCAUUCAUGAGCCUAAGAAUCAUUGAUCUUGCUCACAAUGAUUUUGAGGGUGACUUGCCUGAAUUGUAUUUGAGAAGUUUGAAAGCAAUAAUGAAUGUAAAUGAAGGCAACAUGACAAGAAAAUAUAUGGGGAACAAUUAUUAUCAAGAUUCCAUAAUGGUGACAAUCAAGGGGUUGGAGAUUGAAUUUGUGAAAAUCUUGAAUACUUUCACAACAAUUGAUUUAUCAAGCAAUAAAUUCCAAGGAGAGAUUCCCAAGUCCAUUGGAAAUCUUAAUUCCCUUCGAGGGCUCAAUUUGUCUCAUAACAACCUUGGAGGACAUAUUCCAUCACCUUUAGGGAAUUUGAAGUCGCUUGAAUCAUUGGACCUCUCUUCAAACAAGCUCAUUGGCAGAAUUCCUCAAGAAUUAACAAGUUUGACAUUUCUUGAAGUUUUGAAUCUUUCCCAAAAUAAUCUCACUGGUUUUAUACCUCGAGGCAAUCAGUUUGAGACAUUUGGAAAUGAUUCAUACAACGAGAACUCAGGGCUAUGUGGAUUUCCGUUGUCAAAGAAAUGCACAGCUGAUGAAACACUAGAGCCUUCAAAAGAAGCGAAUACAGAGUUUGAUGGUGGAUUUGAUUGGAAAAUCACAUUGAUGGGAUAUGGAUGUGGAUUGGUUAUUGGGUUGUCUCUUGGGUGUCUUGUUUUCUUAACUGGGAAACCUGAAUGGUUGACAAGGAUGGUAGAAGAGAACAUUCACAAGACGAUCACAAGGUCUAAAAGAAGUACUCGCAGGAAAGGAGCAAGAAGAAAGUAGCAUAUUCCAACCGCAUUGUAUUUUGUGCUACAUAUUACAAAUGGAUUUUACAUUUGUUAGCAAAUAAUCUACUUGUUAUUAUAAAAGUGUAAUAUUGUUUGUAAAAUUAAAAUAAUGUUUUUUUUCCCUUUUUUUCUUUUUUGCAAUAGUCAUUGGGUUCAAUAUUUUUCCAAUCAACAUGAUAACUUAAAAUUCAUCAAAGAGCAAUUUUUAUAUCUUAGAGAUUAAUCAAACACUAACGGAUAUUAAAGACUUAGUAGGAAUUUGGACAUACUUCUAAUUUUUAUUCUUUUUAAAAAAGAAAACUUUUAUACAAGUAGAGACUUACAUUAUGUUUUCAUAACUACUUUUUAAUUUAUUUUUAUUUUUUAAAUUUAAGAACACAAUGUUUUUAAAAUUUUAAAAAAUCUUUUAGAAAAUAUAAGAUAAAUCUCCUCUCUUGCUAAAAAAAAUGACUAGAUUUUAUAGAAGAGUUUAAAAACAAAAGACAAAAGACAAAAAGUGUUUCCAAACACCACUUUUUUUUUUCCCGAUAAUUCAUACUUUAUUAUUAUAUAGGGAAAGAUCAAUAAUAUGUUUAUAUUAAAUAUAUAUGGGUAUAUUAUAACAACUAGUAUUUUAUUUGAUUAAAACAUGUGUAGGAGCCACGACCGGGCCAAGUUCAAACCACGACAAGGCAUAACCAUUGCAACCAAAGCUCAAUUGGUAUUUCAUUUUUCAAAUAUAUGUUUUUCAGAAAUGUCAACUUGCUAUCUUUUCAUUUGAAAGAAUAUCAUUGUUAGUGAUCUAUGUUAAAUAUUUAAAUCAAUUCUAUAAUUGCUAUAGAUAUUUGAAGAAAAAAAACAUAAAUAAAUUAUAUAAUUUAACAUUUUUCAAUCAAUCUGACUUUAAUAAAUAAGGUUGAAGAUAAUAUUCAUUCAUUUUAUAUUUAUCUCUUACCAUUUUAAAAUAUUAAUAUUUAUUUUAAAAAUGUUAGUAUGCAUUAUAAUUUUUUAAAACAGUAUUAUUGAUUUUAAUAAAAAAAAUCUAAAUUCUAAUAUUCAUUUUUAAAAGUUGGUGAUUUCGGAAAUUUGUUUGUAAUAUUCAUGAAUUUAUACUCCUAUCUUUUUCUCAAAAUAAAUAACUAAAUAUUAUUAAUUUAUUAUGAAUAGUGUGAUUUUUAAAAUAUAAUAUUUGAUUAUUUAAUAAAAAUGUUGUUAUUUACCAUAACUUUUUAUUAAAAAAAUUAUUAUUUAUUAUUAAUUUGAAGAAAUAAAAUUUUAAUAUUUAUUUUAAUAAAAAAACCCAAUGAUAUUUUGUGGCCUUAUAAUAAUAAAGUUUAUUUUUAUUUUCACUUUCUAUUUAAAUAAUUAUUUAAAAAAUCUGAAACUAAAAUCAUAAAUAAAAUAAAAAAAUUGAAUCCAUUUUCAUUCACAUUUUUAUUUUAAUAUGUAUAGAAAUUUAAUCUAAUAAAAUUAAUUUUCAACAUUUAUUUUUAUUAUAUGAAAAGUCAAGUGAUCACCAUAUCUCUUUUAUUUAUUAUUAAACUCAGCUUCAAUUGUAAAUUUUAAAAAACAACCAAAUGUAUACAAUCUUGAGUAGGUCCACACUACUGCCACAUGCUUUAUUUUCAUUUUUUUAAAAAAUUUAUUUACUUCCACUAUUUUUUUUUAAUAAAUAAAUAAAUAUUAAUAUUUCUUAUUUGUGUGUUGGUUGUGAUUAAAUCUAUAGGUAGUUCGCAUUUUCUAAUUUUGAUUAGAUUUAUAAGACGAAAACAAACGCAUUUGGAUUGAGCAAGUUUGAGGAGAUAGGUGGAUUUGGGCCUAGAACAUGAUUCGAAGCUCAGUCCAGCCCAAACUGCACAUGUCUUAUUGGGUCUCAAUUUGGGCCUAUUGAGUUGACCUGGGCCAACCCGAUUCAAUUCAUAGUUGUAAUUGGCAUUAAACAAGGUUUAAUUUAUAAUUAAAUAUAAUAAAUAUAAGAGAAAAAAAUUUAAAAAAAUUAUUUUUUCAUGUUUGUUUAUUAUAAAAAAUAUAUAAGAGAAAAUAAAUAUAAUUAAAAUUAAUUAUAGAUUUAUUUAUUUUUAAAUCAUUUAAUCUUUAUAUAGAAGGAAAAAAAAAGUGAAAUGAGUUUAAAAAAGAAUAUAAAAAUAAUUUAUCAUAUUUAAAACUAUUUUUAAAAUUUUCUAUCAUUUUUUUUUUUUUUUAUCUCUUUUCAUUUUCUUACCUUGAUAUUUUUUCAAGAUAUUUCCUUUAUCAUUUUUCAUUAUUGACGGCAAAUCAAUGGUUGAUGCUUCAACACGGUUUUGUGGAAAGAUGAUCAAGAAGAAGACAUGGCAAAUCUGAAAAAGAUACUCCACUUCUUUCAAAUGACAAUUUUGUUUUUUUAUUCCUUUUUUAUUUAUCAUACUUUCUUUACUAAUAUAUCACUUUUCAAAGAAAAUAGUUAAUUUACACUAAUUACUUUUUAACUAUAUCCUCUUAUCAAUAAAGUGACAACAAUCUAUAUAAUUGUUUCUAGAUUUAGAACCUGUUUGAUAGUUAUUUUAAGAAUCUCUUUUAAUAUUUUUAUUAGUUAAAAAUUUUUAUCAUUCAAAUAUUAAAAAUGUUAAAAAAACUUUCUAAAAUAACUUCAAAAUGGGUUCUUAUUGGUCACAUUAUUUAUUUGACUAGAGGCCACAAGUACAAUAGUGUAAACUAACAAUGUCAUUAAUUAGGAUAUUUUGGAAUAACUAAAAUCCUUAAUCUAAUUUUUCAUGGAUUUUUUAUGGCCUUAAGAGGGAAUUGAUUGGUUAAGGAUUCAUAAGUUUACUAUUAAUGUAAUUUAGUAGCUAAUCACUAUCUUUAAGUUAAUAUAUAUAAAUUUUCUUUUAAAUUAAUUAUUUAGAAGACUCAAUUGAUAAUUUUGGAGGAUGAUUUAUUUAUUUAUUACAAAAGAUGCUUUAGAAAAAAAAUAUCUUUAUCGUGUUGCAAACUCUUAGAUAGUAUUGUCAUUUUAUUGAUUUAUAGAAGUCAAAGUCAAGAAACAUGUUUCAUCAAGUAAUUUAUUUUGUUUGUUUAAGAAGUUUCAAAGAAUCAAAGAAAAGAAAAAAAAAAAGUCAAAAAGCAAUGGUUGAAAAAUGAGAGAAGGGAAGUUUCUAUGAAUUUAUGAUUUAUAGAAAAGAAGGUCCCCACACGGUUUUAUUUAUGGUGGGUGCUAGUGCUAAUAAUAUUAUGAUUUUAAAUAGAAAAGAAAUAAAUUUAUGAUUAAUAAGUUUGUUCACACAUUUUUUAAAAUUUAUUUUUCUUCUUUUUUAUGUUUCACAAAAAAUAAAUUUUUUGAAAAGAUAUAAAUAUUUUAAUAAUUUGAAUUAUUAUUUUUCUUUGCAAUUUUAAAUUAUAUCAAAUAAUUAAUAUUAAAUUUCUUUUUAUUUUAAUUUUAAUCUUUUUAAUAUUUUCUUUGAUCCGAAGGCGUAAUUUCAUUUUCAAACUUUUUACGCAAAUAAUAUUACCAAAAAUCUUGUGAUAUUCUACAAUUAGUAAUACUAACUUACAAGGCAUAAAUUAUUAUUUUUUACUAAAUAAUUAUUACAAAAAGAGAAAAAUAAAAUUUAAAAUAUUUUAUUUUACAAUAAAGGCGAAUAAAAGAAAAUGGUAACCAUAUCAAUAUUUCAUGUUUCAUGUGUUUAUAUGGAUAGGUAAAAUAAAAUAAAAUAAAAUAAAUAUAAUUUCCUGCCCAUUUCCUUGCUUUUUCAUCUACUAUUGGUGGUCAAAGUUAUAAAUAUUUGUAUUUAUUUUUAUAAUUUUUAGAUAACAAGAGAAAAGAAGAAUAUAAAAAUAAUUUAUCACCUUUAAAUUUAUUUUCUUAUUUUAAUUUUAUGUCAUUUCUUAUUUUCUUUUAUUUUUCUUAGUAUUUUCUUUAAUACUUUUUAUAAACCAAACACAAACCUAAAAAAUAUUUUUAAAAUUUUUUAUUUUUUUAUUUAAACCAAAAAAUAAAAAUAUGUUUUUUAUUUCUCUUUUAUAAUAAAUAAAAUGAUUAGAAAAUCAAGCGCAUUGGUUUGAGUUUCCCCUUUCAUUUAUUUGAUCAAUAAAAUUCUACUUUAACUUUGCAAAUCCAGCCAUGACCAGUCAUAGAAGUCAAGCUCUUUGGGUCCUAGUAAUUGGCAUGCGGGAAAGAAAUUUCAACUGUGCCCAUCUCAUGCUCCUCUAUUCUAUUUUCUCCCAAGUUAUUAAUUUCCUCAUCUUUCUCUAAUUCCGCGAAAGGGUGCCUCAUUACCGAAGACUUGACUUCUUGUGGGCCAGCUUAAGAAAUCAUUUUUCAUUAGUGACCCUAAGUCAAUGGUUCAGGCUUUCUCAUGAUGAAACAUGUCUCAUCAUGUAAUUUAUUUUGAACCACAUUUUACAUAAUCAAUUUAAAAAAUUAGUAUAAUUACUUUAAUCCAUUCAUGACUUAAUUAAGGGGUUUUAGGAAUAAUAUCAGUACGUAGCUUUAAUUUGUUAAUUCUUGGAAUGUGGAAUUUUACCUUUUAUAAUAAUUUUGUUUAUGAAAUUUAUUUAUUAAUUUUUAAAAAGACUAAUAAGAAAUCUUUCUUUUUGCUUUCUUUGUUAUGAAGGCCAGUGUGCCCUGAAACCAAGUGCUCUGGUUUCAUUUCUCUUAUUUAUAAAAUUUCAUUUUUGUACUUCAAAUCUACAGGAUGUAUUUUGAUUUUAUUUUAUAGUCCCAAUCUAUACCAGUGCUGAUAAAAUAUAAUAAUUAAAACUCUAAUGAGCUGGAAACUGUAACAACAAAGGUCUUCUUUUGAUUGUUCCUGUUUAAGCUGGAAAUUUCCGAGAAGACAUUUGUUUAAGAUUUGUUAAAGUUAUUUUAAGUAGAUUAAGGAAAGUCAAUAAACUCAACUUAAAUUCAUAUUCAAUACCUAAUUUAUUUCAUUUAAUUGUGUUACUUUACUUUCAACAACACUUUACUUCCAACAAAAAGUAAAAAUACACAAAAUAAAAGUAAAAGUACUUUACUUUCAACAAAAAGAAUAAUGUUGUUACUAAAAUUUAUUUCAUUUCAUUUUGUUAAUGAGAUUAGGUCAUGAAAAUGUCGAAAAAUAAAAUAAAAUAAAAUGGUAGUUAUGAAAUUUUUUUUUUUAAAUUGAGUUGGAAGUUUCAACUUUCUCCGUUACAAACUAUUAGAAUUGAAUAUCAUUUUUAAAACUUAAAUUAAUUCAUAUUUUAUUUUUUCUGUUCUUUGGUUAUGUCUAAUGAUCAUAUAUGAAAAAUUGUAUAUAAUUAAAUUAUAUAAUUAUCAUAUAUAAAAUUUAAAAUUUGUUUUAUGAAAAAAAAUUAUUUAUAUUUAUAUCAAAAGACUUUCUAAGAAGUUUUAACAAGAAAAGUCUUCUCUAGUCCUCCAUUUGAGUUGGAAAUUUCCAAGAAAUUUUCCAUAAUGAAGAAGAGAAGGGUAAAGUUAGAGUGAAUCAUUUUCAUAUAAAGUGGAGAAUCCUCAUCACCAUUUCUCUCAUCCCACCUCACCCUCUCAAUUGCUUUUGGGAAGAAUGAUGUCUAAACGCCUCCUCCUCUAUUUUCUUUUCUUCCUCUCAUCCUCUCAGCUUCUUUCCUCCUCUUUCUCUUUCUCUAAUUCCACCAAACUAUGCCCGCAUCAGCAGGCUCUUGCUCUGCUCCACCUUAAGCAAUCCUUUUCUAUUGAUAAUUCCAGUUCUUGGGAUUGUGAUUCCAAUGGCAUCACUUCUUAUCCUAAAACAGAGUCUUGGAAGAAGGGUAGUGAUUGUUGCUCAUGGGAUGGGGUCACAUGUGAUUGGGUGACAGGCCAUAUAAUUGGGCUGGACCUCAGUUGCAGCUGGCUCUUUGGCAUCAUCCAUUCCAAUAGUACCCUCUUCCUCUUUCCUCACCUGCGAAGGCUCAACCUUGCUUCCAAUGACUUCAGUGGGUCCUCUGUUUCAGUUGGGUUUGGUCGCUUCUCAAGCUUGACGCAUCUCAAUCUCUCUGACUCUGGAUUUUCAGGCCUAAUUUCAUCAGAAAUCUCUCACCUCUCCAACUUGGUUUCACUUGAUCUUUCUUGGAAUUCUGAUGCAGAAUUUGCCCCGCAUGGCUUCAAUUCUCUGGUUCAAAAUUUAACCAAAUUGCAGAAGCUUCACCUUAGAGGUAUUUCCAUCUCUUCAGUUUUUCCUGAUUCCUUGCUAAAUCGGUCUUCUUUAAUAUCAUUAGAUCUCUCUUCAUGCGGAUUGCAUGGGAGAUUCCCUGACCAUGACAUUCAUUUUCCGAAACUCGAGGUUCUCGACUUACAAGGAAAUAAUGAUCUCAGUGGAAACUUCCCACGAUUCAGUGAGAACAAUUCCCUCAUGGAAUUGUAUUUAUCAUCCAAAAAUUUCAGUGGAGAGCUUCCUGCUUCAAUUGGAAAUCUAAAGUCUUUGCAGACUUUGUAUAUCUCCAAUUGCGAAUUCUCAGGGUCCAUCCCCGCUUCCCUAGAGAACCUUACACAAAUCACUUCCUUGAACCUCGAUGAGAAUCUUUUUAGUGGUAAAAUUCCAAAUGUUUUUAGUAACCUUAGAAAUUUAAUUUCAUUACACCUUCAUGGCAACAAUUUCAGUGGUCAGCUUCCAUCAUCAAUUGGAAAUCUAACAAACCUUCAGGGCUUAAACUUGUAUGAUAAUCAGCUAGAAGGAGUCAUUCCUUCUUUUGUAAAUGGGUUUUUAAGUCUAUCCUAUGUCGACUUAGGAUAUAACUUAUUCAAUGGGAUAAUACCAUCUUGGUUGUAUGCUCUACCAUCAUUGGUGGUAUUAUAUCUCGAUCAUAACAAACUCACUGGUCAUAUUGGUGAAUUCCAAUCUGAUUCAUUGGAGUUGAUUUGUUUGAAAAUGAAUAAGUUACAUGGGCCAAUUCCAAGUUCAAUAUUUAAGCUUGUAAACCUUAGAUAUCUUCAUCUUUCUUCAAAUAACUUGAGUGGUGUUUUGGAGACAAGCAACUUUGGAAAACUUAGAAACCUCACUUCGCUUGAUCUCUCAAACAACAUGCUCUCAUCGAUCACCUCUAGCAAUUCCAACUCCAUUUUACCCAGCAUUCAAAGGCUAGACUUUUCAAACAAUAACAUUAGUGGAGUAUGGUCAUGGAAUAUGGGAAAGAAUACACUGCAGUACUUGAAUCUCUCUUAUAACUCAAUAAGUGGGUUUGAGAUGCUCCCAUGGGAAAAUUUAUAUACUCUAGAUCUUCAUUCCAACUUGUUGCAAGGACCACUUCCAACUCUUCCAAAUUCUACAUUUUUCUUUUCAGUAUCCCAUAACAAAUUGAGUGGAGAAAUCUCAUCGUUGAUUUGCAAAGCGAGUUCCAUGAGAAUUUUUGAUUUGUCUAAUAACAACUUGAGUGGCGUGCUUCCUCAUUGUUUGGGGAAUUUUAGCAAAGAUCUUUUUGUUUUGAAUUUACGAAGGAAUCAAUUUCAUGGCAUCAUUCCUCAAACAUUUUUAAAGGGCAAUGCUAUCAGGAAUCUUGACUUCAACGAUAAUCAAUUGGAAGGCCCAGUACCUCGAUCUUUGAUCAUUUGUAGAAAACUUGAAGUUCUAGACCUUGGGAAUAAUAAGAUAAAUGAUACAUUUCCCCAUUGGUUGGGAACUCUUCCAGAGUUGCAAGUUCUUGUUUUGCGCUCUAAUAGUUUCCAUGGUCAUAUAGGGCGUUCCAAGAUCAAAUCCCCAUUCAUGAGCCUAAGAAUCAUUGAUCUUGCUCACAAUGAUUUCGAGGGUGAUUUGCCUGAAAUGUAUUUGAGAAGUUUGAAAGCAAUAAUGAAUAUAGAUGAAGGCAACAUGACAAGAAAAUAUAUGGGGGAAGAGUAUUAUCAAGAUUCCAUAGUGGUGACAAUCAAAAGGUUAGAGAUUGAAUUUGUGAAAAUCUUGAAUACUUUCACAACAAUUGAUUUAUCAAGCAAUAAAUUCCAAGGAGAGAUUCCCAAGUCCAUUGGAAAUCUUAAUUCACUUCGAGGGCUCAAUUUGUCUCAUAACAACCUUGCAGGACAUAUCCCAUCAUCUUUUGGGAAUUUGAAGUUGCUUGAAUCAUUAGACCUCUCUUCAAACAAGCUCAUUGGGAGAAUUCCUCAAGAAUUAACGAGUUUGACAUUUCUCGAAGUUUUGAAUCUUUCCCAAAACCAUCUUACUGGAUUUAUACCUCAAGGUAAUCAGUUUGACACUUUUGGAAAUGAUUCAUACAAUGAGAACUCAGGGUUGUGUGGAUUUCCAUUGUCAAAGAAAUGCAUAAUUGAUGAAACACCAGAGUCUUCAAAGGAAACGGAUGCAGAGUUUGAUGGUGGAUUUGAUUGGAAAAUCACAUUGAUGGGAUAUGGAUGUGGAUUGAUAAUUGGGUUAUCUCUUGGGUGUCUCAUUUUCUUAACUGGGAAACCUAAAUGGUUGACAACGAUGGUCGAAGAGAACAUUCACAAGAAGAUCACAAGGUCUAAAAAAGGUACUUGUAGAAGAGGAGCAAGAAGAAAGUAGCAUAUUCCAACCGCAUUGUAUUUUGUGCUACAUAUUAU
rnacentral:lncRNA from 1 species